UACGAAGGGGGCUAGCGUUGUUCGGAAUCACUGGGCGUAAAGCGCACGUAGGCGGAUCGUUAAGUCAGGGGUGAAAUGCCGAGGCUCAACCUCGGAACUGCCUUUGAUACUGGCGAUCUUAGAGUCCGGGAGAGGUGAGUGGAACUCCGAGUGUAGAGGUGAAAUUCGUAGAUAUUCGGAAGAACACCAGUGGCGAAGGCGGCUCACUGGCCCGGUACUGACGCUCAGGUGCGAAAGCGUGGGGAGCAAACAGG
rnacentral:rRNA from 1 species